rnacentral:lncRNA from 1 species
UUAAAAUUUUGUCUAGACAUGAAACUUCAAAUCCAAUGUGGACUAUCUUAGAGGAUGACACCUGUUUUUUUUUGCUAUUUAGUGUUGCUCAUUUGUGUAGUUUUAAAGAUAUAAUUUAAAGAUAUAAUUGCCUGUAUCUAAUUUGUGAAAUUGGGUGGGUAGGAAUUAAGCUAAAUGUGAUAUAUUCAUGUUAAAUUCUCUUAAGUGUAGUAAAAAGUAUAUAAAUUAUUAGGGUUUGAAACCUUCAAAUUUGUAUGAACAGAGUUGUAUUCAUCAGUUGUUAUCACUGGUAUAUGCUAUUAUGAUGUUGUUGCUAUGCUAACAAACUGGUAUGCGAGAAUUGUAAUUUUUGCAGUAAUGCUUCAUUAUAUACAAUUUUUC